UCUCUCUCUCUCUCUCUCUCUCUCUCUCUCUCUCUUUCUGCAGAUCUUCGUUUUCUCGCGUUUACGCUUUCGAGAGGUCUGCGCGUGCUUUCUCCAUACCCCGGUUUCUCGUUCCUCCUUCAGACGGGAUCUCCUUCCCUUUCUGUCAUCCCUCGUGGAUUUUAUACGGAAAAUGGAGGUAUUCCUUCGUAGAGGAAAGUUAGGUUCGGUCGAAGAACUUGGCCAAGUGGGCGGUGGGCGGAUGGUAAAUCUGCCUACAACGAGAGUAAAGGUGACAUUGCGAUAGAGAAUGACGAAGGAAGGCCGGCAGCUAGACCCGUCACCCCGCGCCGCCCGACAGAAUUUUCCCUAAAGGACCUUUUAGAGUUAAUUGAUCGUCUGAGCGAUAUACAUAUACGCGUGCCUUCGCGUACACUCCCGCGUAAUGCACCCUUAAUGGACGCGAACCUUUGCCCACGUACGCGAUCAAAGAACCCACCGCCGCCAAUGGUGUUCCAUCAUUGUCCGGUACAGCAUCGGAAUUUAACUAUACACCUUAGCUCGAACGUUGAUGCACUCCAUUUCUAUUCUCGCGUGCCCUUGUGAUCUGCUUCAGAGCAUUUAUCGAUUUACGAUGCCGACCAGUCGCAGGAUAUCCGGAGAGAGGAGAGGCUGUUUGAAAGAAAACGAGAAGAUUGAACGUGGGACCUCGGUUCCUUCUAUUUAACCCUAUCGUUAUAGAACGUAGCUAUAGUGAUCGUUCGCAGGGCCGAUAAAUCAGUCUUUAAUUAGAAUUCUAAAAAUUUUCAAUCAUUAAAGGUUUUUUUUUUUUUAUACCUACAUAUCUGUCGUCUGUACUCGAUGACACCGUUGCACAGUCCAGUGACGCUAUUUAAGCGAUUACUUAAAAUCAAUAGCGGUCGUUUAUAGCGCGCCAAUAAGCCAAUAGUAUAAUUCUUACCCAAACGAUGCUUUUCAUUCGGCACGUGAUUCUAUACUAUGAUAGUAGUGGGUUUUAUGGAUGAGCAGGCUCGAGGGUGGCCAGUGGCCGACUUCAGAACAAUCCUACCUAGUAACCCUUGCCUGGUCCCGUAAUGCUCCCUCGAAGCUGCAAGGGAAGAAGGCUGGUGAAUGACGAGGAAAAGGGAACAACAUUAACUAGGGGGGACCGUGCUAUCGCCUGCAGCUGGAUUUUUACCGAAUUGCUAUGGGCUCUAUCAGGAUUUGGCUGGGUCUUUACCUCUACCAGGUAGACACGCAUGCAGCACAAGCGUUAACACGAUUGUUUCACAGAUUUACAGUGUACGCCCGGCACCGUGGACAAGUAUGAUCGAGGAGCGAGAACUUAUCACCAGUGGUCAUUAAUUGCCGGCUACAAUACGUGUGUCCCGCCACAAUGUUAGUCGUAAUAUUUCACGAGCGAGCUACUUGCAACGCGUCUUUGCUCGAGAUAUAGGGGAACAAAUUCUUCGCCCAGCCUGCGGCAUAACUGGUGUGUACUGUGUUAUAACUGAUAUCAAGACGAAUUCAACGACCCCCUAUACCUUGACCUCGAAAUAACCUUGUGAAUAUAUGUGGAAUAUCACAUUUAUUUUUGGCACAGUGGGUACCUCAUUAGAUAUGCAUCUAAUUAAGCUUUCACGAGCUUUAUCUACUACUUAGAGGAGAGUCUAUACAACCUGGAACAAGUCACUUUUUUUUAAAACAUUUUUUUCCAAUUCCAAUCAACAAAUCUCUGUAUACCAUACACUUUUUGCAAUUAAUUUUUGAUUUUCAACAAGCGUUGGGAUUGUCGCAAAAUCAAAUAAAUAUCAAUUAUACGACUUUCGAAUUAAUUCGAAUUCAUUAUUGGACCAAUUAAUGGAUAGUUAGAACCUUUUUUGUUUUAGACAACAAUUUACUAUCUAUUUUUCUGUACACCCUAAGUUAACUUAUUUAUUUGAAGUAGCAAUUAUAUUAUAAUAAACAUUGUAUACAUAUAACUUUUGUCCGAAUAUAAAACAAAAUCUUUUAA